UAGGGAAUCUUCGGCAAUGGACGAAAGUCUGACCGAGCAACGCCGCGUGAGUGAAGAAGGUUUUCGGAUCGUAAAACUCUGUUGUUAGAGAAGAACAAGGAUGAGAGUAACUGUUCAUCCCUUGACGGUAUCUGACCAGAAAGCCACGGCUAACUACGUGCCAGCAGCCGCGGUAAUACGUAGGUGGCAAGCGUUGUCCGGAUUUAUUGGGCGUAAAGCGAGCGCAGGCGGUUUCUUAAGUCUGAUGUGAAAGCCCCCGGCUCAACCGGGGAGGGUCAUUGGAAACUGGGAGACUUGAGUGCAGAAGAGGAGAGUGGAAUUCCAUGUGUAGCGGUGAAAUGCGUAGAUAUAUGGAGGAACACCAGUGGCGAAGGCGGCUCUCUGGUCUGUAACUGACGCUGAGGCUCGAAAGCGUGGGGAGCAAACAGGAUUAGAUACCCUGGUAGUCCACGCCGUAAACGAUGAGUGCUAAGUGUUGGAGGGUUUCCGCCCUUCAGUGCUGCAGCUAACGCAUUAAGCACUCCGCCUGGGGAGUACGACCGCAAGGUUGAAACUCAAAGGAAUUGACGGGGGCCCGCACAAGCGGUGGAGCAUGUGGUUUAAUUCGAAGC
rnacentral:rRNA from 1 species